rnacentral:rRNA from 1 species
GCCUGAGAAACGGCUACCACAUCCAAGGAAGGCAGCAGGCGCGCAAAUUACCCACUCCCGGCACGGGGAGGUAGUGACGAAAAAUAACAAUACGGGACUCUUUCGAGGCCUCGUAAUUGGAAUGGGUACAGUCUAAACCUUUUAACGAGUAUCUAUUGGAGGGCAAGUCUGGUGCCAGCAGCCGCGGUAAUUCCAGCUCCAAUAGCGUAUAUUAAAGUUGUUGCGGUUAAAAAGCUCGUAGUUGGAUCUCAGUUCCAGACUGGCGGUCCACCUUAUGGUGGUUACUGCUUGGCCUGAACAUUCUGCUGGAUUUCCUUUGGUGCUCUUCACCGGGUGUCAUUGGUGGCCAGCACGUUUACUUUGAAAAAAUUAGAGUGCUCAAAGCAGGCUGAGUGCCUGAAUAAUGGUGCAUGGAAUAAUGGAAUAGGAUCUCGGUUCUAUUUUGUUGGUUUUCGGAACACGAGAUAAUGAUUAAGAGGGACAGACGGGGGCAUUCGUAUUGCGACGCUAGAGGUGAAAUUCUUGGACCGUCGCAAGACGAACUACUGCGAAAGCAUUUGCCAAGAAUGUCUUCGUUAAUCAAGAACGAAAGUUAGAGGUUCGAAGGCGAUCAGAUACCGCCCUAGUUCUAACCAUAAACGAUGCCAACCAGCGAUCCGCCGGAGUUCUUCCAAUGACUCGGCGGGCAGCUUCCGGGAAACCAAAGUGUUUGGGUUCCGGGGGAAGUAUGGUUGCAAAGCUGAAACUUAAAGGAAUUGACGGAAGGGCACCACCAGGAGUGGAGCCUGCGGCUUAAUUUGACUCAACACGGGAAAACUUACCCGGCCCGGACACCGGAAGGAUUGACAGAUUGAGAGCUCUUUCUUGAUUCGGUGGGUGGUGGUGCAUGGCCGUUCUUAGUUGGUGGAACGAUUUGUCUGGUUAAUUCCGAUAACGAACGAGACUCUAGCCUACUAAAUAGUCGACGGAUCUCUUUUUGUCCGUCGAUCUUCUUAGAGGGACAAGCGGCUUUUAGCCGCACGAGACAGAGCAAUAACAGGUCUGUGAUGCCCUUCGAUGCCCGGGGCCGCACGCGCGCUACACUGAAGGAAUCAGCGUGCAUUUAUCCCCGUCCGGUAGGACAGGGUAACCCGAUGAGUCUUCUUCGUGAUAGGGAUAGGGGCUUGUAAUUGUUCCCCUUGAACGAGGAAUUCCCAGUAAGCGCGAGUCAUAAGCUCGCGUUGAUUACGUCCCUGCCCUUUGUACACACCGCCCGUCGCUACUACCGAUUGAAUGAUUUAGUGAGGUCUUCGGACCGUUGCCCGGGGCUACGCAAGUCGCACCGGUGUGAUGGAAAGAUGAUCAAACUUGAUCAUUUAGAGGAAGUAAAAGUCGUAACAAGGUUUCC